CGUACACUCCUGCGGGAGGCAGCAGUGGGGAAUAUUACACAAUGGGCGCAAGCCUGAUGCAGCCAUGCCGCGUGUGUGAAGAAGGCCUUCGGGUUGUAAAGCACUUUCAGCGGGGAGGAAGGCGAUACGGUUAAUAACCGUGUUGAUUGACGUUACCCGCAGAAGAAGCACCGGCUAACUCCGUGCCAGCAGCCGCGGUAAUACGGAGGGUGCAAGCGUUAAUCGGAAUUACUGGGCGUAAAGCGCACGCAGGCGGUCUGUCAAGUCGGAUGUGAAAUCCCCGGGCUCAACCUGGGAACUGCAUUCGAAACUGGCAGGCUUGAGUCUUGUAGAGGGGGGUAGAAUUCCAGGUGUAGCGGUGAAAUGCGUAGAGAUCUGGAGGAAUACCGGUGGCGAAGGCGGCCCCCUGGACAAAGACUGACGCUCAGGUGCGAAAGCGUGGGGAGCAAACAGGAUUAGAAACCCGGGUAGUCCCAUG
rnacentral:rRNA from 1 species